AGCGAACGCUGGCGGCGUGCCUAACACAUGCAAGUCGAACGUGAAAGGGAGCAAUCCCAAGUAAAGUGGCGUACGGGUGAGUAACACGUAGGUAAUCUACCCCAGAAUCUGGAAUAACCGGCCGAAAGGCUGGCUAAUACUGGAUAGAGCGACGGAAUCCGUAAUUGGGUUUUUCGGGAAAGGGAGCCUGUAAAAAGGCCUUCGUUCUGGGAUGAGCCUGCGUCCCAUCAGCUAGUUGGUGAGGUAAAAGCUUACCAAGGCAAUGACGGGUAGCUGGUCUGAGAGGACGAUCAGCCACACUGGAACUGAAACACGGUCCAGACUCCUACGGGAGGCAGCAGUGGGGAAUCUUGCGCAAUGGACGAAAGUCUGACGCAGCAACGCCGCGUGAGUGAAGAAGGCUUUCGGGUUGUAAAGCUCUGUCGAGUGGGACGAAAAUGCUUGGAGUUCACAGCUCCAGGAACUGACGGUACCACUAAAGGAAGCACCGGCUAACUCCGUG
rnacentral:rRNA from 1 species